rnacentral:rRNA from 1 species
UGGGGAAUAUUGGGCAAUGGGCGAAAGCCUGACCUAGCAACGCCGCGUGAGGGAAGAAGGGUUUCGGCUCGUAAACCUCUGUCCUAUGGGACGAAGGAAGUGACGGUACCAUAGGAGGAAGCCCCGGCUAACUACGUGCCAGCAGCCGCGGUAAUACGUAGGGGGCGAGCGUUGUCCGGAAUGAUUGGGCGUAAAGGGCGCGUAGGCGGCCCGUUAAGUCUGGAGUGAAAGUCCUGCUUUCAAGGUGAGAAUUGCUUUGGAUACUGAUGGGCUGGAGUGCAGGAGAGGAAAUGCGGAAUUACCGGUGUAGCGGUGAAAUGCGUAGAGAUCGGUAGGAACACCAGUGGCGAAGGCGGCUUUCUGGACUGAAACUGACGCUGAGGCGCGAAAGCGUGGGGAGCAAACAGGAUUAGAUACCC